AUUGAACGCUGGCGGCAUGCUUUACACAUGCAAGUCGAACGGUAACAGGCCGCAAGGUGCUGACGAGUGGCGAACGGGUGAGUAAUGCAUCGGAACGUGCCCAGUCGUGGGGGAUAACGCAGCGAAAGCUGCGCUAAUACCGCAUACGAUCUGUGGAUGAAAGCGGGGGACCUUCGGGCCUCGCGCGAUUGGAGCGGCCGAUGUCAGGUUAGGUAGUUGGUGGGGUAAAGGCUCACCAAGCCAACGAUCUGUAGCUGGUCUGAGAGGACGACCAGCCAGACUGGGACUGAGACACGGCCCAGACUACUACGGGAGGCAGCAGUGGGGAAUUUUGGACAAUGGGGGCAACCCUGAUCCAGCAAUGCCGCGUGCAGGAAGAAGGCCUUCGGGUUGUAAACUGCUUUUGUACGGAACGAAAAGGCUCUGGUUAAUACCUGGGGCUCAUGACGGUACCGUAAGAAUAAGCACCGGCUAACUACGUGCCAGCCGCCGCCGUAACAC
rnacentral:rRNA from 1 species